rnacentral:rRNA from 1 species
AACGUAGGGGGCGAGCGUUGUCCGGAAUUACUGGGCGUAAAGGGCGCGUAGGCGGUUUAAUAAGUCUCAAGGUGAAAACUAUCGGCUCAACCGGUAGCCUGCCUGAGAAACUGUUAGACUUGAGGGCAGGAGAGGGGAGUGGAAUUCCCAGUGUAGCGGUGAAAUGCGUAGAUAUUGGGAGGAACACCAGUGGCGAAGGCGGCUCUCUGGCCUGUUACUGACGCUGAGGCGCGAAAGCGUGGGGAGCGAA